rnacentral:rRNA from 1 species
UACGUAGGGCGCAAGCGUUGUCCGGAAUUAUUGGGCGUAAAGAGCUCGUAGGCGGUUUGUCGCGUCGGGAGUGAAAUCCACUGGCUUAACUGGUGGCUUGCUUUCGAUACGGGCAGACUGGAGGUAUGCAGGGGAGAACGGAAUUCCUGGUGUAGCGGUGAAAUGCGCAGAUAUCAGGAGGAACACCGGUGGCGAAGGCGGUUCUCUGGGCAUGUCCUGACGCUGAGGAGCGAAAGUGUGGGGAGCGAACAGG